UGUCCACCUCAGCAAUUAAGUGGGUCCCACUAAAAGAAGAAGAAGUAAUUUCGAGUUUUGUUUCAAUCUAAAGUCAAACGUCUUGAUAAAAAAAAAAAGCCAAACGCCAAAACCCAAGAGUCGGAGACGUCGAUUGUGUAAUAGUCCACCACCAUCAAACUAUUAAAAGCUUCAACUCAUCCAUACUCUUCAUCUCUCCCCGAAUCCAAAUCUCCUCUGGUAGCUUCCAUGGAUGAGAAACAGACAGAUUUCCAGAUCCAAAGCUUUGUAUAAAUCUAGCACCAAAGCUUCGGCAAUAUCAACCAGCGCAUCCAUGUCUAAGAAUCCAGCGAAAUCACCACUAAAGCUCCAAUUGAAUCGGCCACCAGUUCCAUGGAUAAGAAAAAAGGGGUUGCUUGGCUCCAUCUACAGCUUUGAAUCUGCAAAAAGAAAGAUCCUCUUAGGGCUUGAUCUGUUAUUUAUGGCGAAGAGGUAUGGCUUGAUAUUCUAAAUCCCUGAAUUUCAUAAUUUUUUUUUUUAUCAUCUAACCUAUACUACACCUCACCAUGAAUAUGUGCUACAAGGUGCAUAGCUCAGAAUCGUGUAAGCCGGUAUAAAAAUUUCUGAAGCGUGGUUCUCAGCCUCUUUAACCUCUUAUCUCAAAAUUUUUUGACACUUUCAAGGUCUAGCCGUUCUUCAAGAACAAAGUUUAGCGAUUGAGUUCAACUGGUUCUGGUUCCAUUCAUGCAAACAGUUUGAAGCAAUCUCUAUGGUAAGGUUUAGGUUUUGUUGUCGAAUACAGUUACAUUAUUUUGCUUUUUUUGUUGUUGUUGGUAUUUUAUUGGGAUGCAGAUAAAGAUCCAGAGUUAUGGUAACCAAGCUGAGAUCAAAGUGCAAAGGUUGUAAGAGAGACAAAGAGAGAAAGGCUUUAAAAAGGAUGAUCUGCAUUUUAUGUUGAGGAGAGCUUACUGAAGCGAGUGCUAGGGUAUUGCAUCACAUCGCUUCAGCUCCAGAGGAAGGAAAUGUCAAACAACAAUUAUCUUGGUGUUGACUCCGCGUGGAACUGCGUAUCAGAUUCUGAAAACCCGACAUGUGCAGUCAUGAAGCACAAAUCCUUGUGGUGAGGCCUACCGGCUAGCUGUAAUAGCUGAUCCAGGUAGCACCUUUCGUGGUAUUGUAGCCGCCAAUGUCAAAGUAGACAAGGGAUUCUUCGCAACAAAAAGAAAAGACAUCUAUUGUGUUACUGAUCACAAACUCACCAUCUGUUUCACUCAGAAUAUUGUCCUCUCGGAGCUUCAGUACAACCCAGUUGUGAUCGAUAGAAACAUGUUCAGGUUCCGCUCAUUCCAAGAGUUUGAGGGGUGAUUUGUAUGAUAUCAUCGGCCCAUGAAGGUCAUCAAUUGACAGUCUCUCAGCAAACAACCGGUCUUGAACGGAGGCAGCACUCCCACCUACAGCCAAAACAGUGACCUAUGAAUAACGUCUACCUUUGGGACCAGGCUUCUCAUGAGUCCCACAACAGGUUCAAUGAAAGUCUCGCCACUCUUGCUGUUGUAUUAGUAACAGCAGUUAACACUAAACGUAUUGGAGGUACCGUGCUGAGAUAUCUGUCUACAACAAUGUCGUUAAGGCAACUUUGUGCUCUUUGGUAAUACUGGUCCUGAGCUAACAUGGAGGCAGGCGUUAGAGCUUAUUGACAAUUACUUCGAGGCUAAUAGGGACAUCGGUGCUAACCAUGAGAUGCCAACUCCACAGUGUCUGGUGGAAGUCUCGAGCUCCAACCUUAAGAGACAGACCAUAAUUGUAACGAGGGUUGUUUUUCCCGCAGUUCUGCCACCAUUUGUAGUAGCAGAAAGCCAACCAGACGCAAUCGAUGAAGAGAGCACAUGCUCCUGGAUUAAUUCAUUUCUGUCAUAGAGAGUCUAGCACAUCUUUAUCCAAACUAUUUUUGAACUCUCUGUUCUUGCAUAUUUUUAUAAAUAACUUGUGAAGUUGAGGUACUCUCCUUCCUAAGCAUGUGUUAUGUUUUCAUUCUUUAUAAGUUGGGUUUUAAAUUUGAAAUACAUAAAAACUAUAUUCUGAACUAUACCUUUUAUGACCAUUGAAUGAUAAAAUUAAAGAAAUAUAACUAAAAUAAAUUAAAAUUUAUGCUAAUAAAAUAUAAUAUUAUAAUAUAAUUUUUUUUAGGAUUGAUCUUAUCUUUUCACCAAAAGAGUUUCCAAUGAAUAACACGAUUAAAAGUCAUCAUGUUAUCUAUUUUAUUAAAGAGUAAAUAGAUAUUUAUACUGCUAGCGUUAACUAAUAUAAAUUUAGAGUCUAAAUUUGAGGGUUGAAUUUUGGAGAUGAGAUUAAUUUUUUAAAUAAAUUGAUAAAUAUUUAGAAUUAUAAAUCAAAAAUUUUAAAAAAUCAUUUCACCUUUCAAAAAGAAAAUUUGAAAUUUAUAAAUAUUAAAAUUAGAUAACAUAUAAUUUAAGAACUAUAAAAAUUAUUUUUAAUUUUUAUUAUUUACUUAAAUAAUUAUUUAUAUUUAUAUAUCUAUAGAGCAAGGGAGGGAAAAAGGUAAAACGAUCUUUUGCCUCCUUAAUUAAAUCUAUUUUGAACAUUUUCUCUUUGGAACUCUGUUGGUGAAAAAAACUUAAAAAAUAUUUUAGAAAAUUGUGCUUAUAAUUAAUUUUACAUUUUUUUUUUGUUUUACUAAAAUCAAUACGGCAAAACCAAACAUAUUCAAAAUGGUUUCAGUCUUAAAAACAAAAUUCAGAGAUUAAUUUCAAAUUGAUGACGUGAACUUAGAAUGAUAUUUAUAAGUGUGUUAUUGGAAAAGAAAUCUUUUAUACACAUGUUUGCAAUAAUUUUUAUUUUUUAUUCAGGCAUGUAUACAAACAAAAUAUUUCAUCUAUCUUAGAGUAUCUCCAAUAGGAAUUCUAGACUUAGAUUUCCCAAAAUACAUAUAUGUGUAUAAAUAUAUUAAUAUUUAAUUAUAAGUUCUUAACUUUACAAAAAAUGUAACUCAAAAUAUUUUUUUCUGAUCAUUUGAUUUGUAUUUUCUGUAAAAUUAAUAAUUCUACAAUUAAAUAUUAAUAUAAUAUAUACAUAUAACAUAUGUGUAUUUUGAGAAUUCCAAGCUUAGAAUCUUCAUUUAAGGUGCUUUUUUAUGCUACCAUUAUAAUUCAAAAUGAGUUCUUAAAUUGAAAAUGGUUCUACAAUAUCUUAUAUUCACACAACAUAUUUAACUGAAAUUGUAUAGAGCAAUUAUCCGCGCGUAGCGCGGAAAGACGAUCUAGUACAAUACUAAAAGCCAAAUAUCCUCAAUGGAGAGGCCCUCCACGUCAGAAAAAAUAAUCAACCAAUGGCAUCACAUAUUUCUUCCACGUCAGGUUUAAUUGGGCUACGGAGUGUUUUUUUUUUGUUAUGGUGUUGGCCCGUAAGCCUAUUACCUUAGCCAAAACGGAGAGGACCUCCUCUAGAUGUCUCGACGAACCCUAGCUUCUCUUGCGCAGACAACAAUCUGAUCUCCUACGAUCUCAUCCCUUCCGUCCUUCCCACUUCCUUCCGUUUAUCGGUUUACGUCUGUUCAAUCAACCCUCCAUCAAAUCCUCAUUAACCUCCAUUAAUGGGUUCCUUUUGCAUCCCUCUCUCUGAUUUCUUUUAUAACCCCGAUCAUUCCUCCAGAUUGAUUAUUCACAAUACUAUCCUCUCAACCGAUGAAUUCCAACAGCAAAAACUCCGUAUCCGGCGAUCUUCUCUCCAAGAAACCUGACGCUGUCUCCUCCGCCGCACCGGUGAAACCCUCCGCCGCAUCGAUGAAACCCUCUGCCUCUCUGUUGGAUUCCUCCACCGCAUCGAUGGAACCCUCUGCCGCGUCGAUGAAAUCCUCCGCCUCAGAGAUGAACCCCUCCACCGCAGCGAUGAAACCUAUUGGCCAAUCCGGUGUCUCCGGUGAUUCCUCUUCGAAGAAACAUAACGGCAUGGCUGUUGUCUGCUCCGAUGUGCCCUCCGACAACAACGAUCGCGUCGUGUUCUUCAAAAAAAAAGAAAAGAAAGAGAUGUCCAUGCGCAGGGACGAAGAGAACAAUAUAUAGAGGAUUUGGUUCUUCCAUUGGCAAUGAGCGUCCAGAACGGAAAUGGCCUAUCCAGAUAUCACUUUGAGAGAAAGAAGCACAAGUUCUAAGUGAGUUCUUCUUUGCUAACACUUUCUCUAUGUUGUUGGGUGAAAGAAGCACAAGAAACCCUCUGCCGCGUUAAUUAUAGUUUAUUUCAGUGUUAUGUUUCAGAGAAUGAACCAAAGGCUAAGGGUGAGUCUGUAUAUAGUGGAGGUGCUCUGAAUUUCUCUGAUGAGCGGAAGGUGUAAGAGAUUUCAUCACGGGAACACUGGACUUGAAGUACGAGGAUAUGAGAAUUUUAAACAAAACAGACAAAAGUGUUUUUCGACCGCAAGGGUAACGAUCGCCACGGAGAAAAUGGCACGGUCUACGUGGUUAUCACGUUUACAGAAUCGGAUCUGAAUAUUACUUUGUCUGUUUAGUCUAACAUUUUUCUUACCAUGUUUCUGAAGAGAUCAAGUUAGACGCUGCGAAUAGUUGCAUGUGAGAAACAGUGUCUGAGGAAACGAUAUGGAUGUUCAGGAACUUACACCUGGCUCUCAAGACUUCACGAUAGAGAGCUCGAAGACAAAGACAAAGACAAAGAAGUACCAGUACUGAAAAAAGAAAGGCGUAAGAAGAAACAAUAUAGACGAGCUAGAGAGAAUUGCGACGCUGAAGUUAGCUAGAGGCAGACAUGUUACAGCUUAAAGCUAGCAAAGCAUAACGGGAGGCUGAGAGGUUCUGAGGAUUGUACUACGAAAAUGGACAAGUUUGAGGAGGCAUGCACAAGUAACUAUCUGAAACAGAGGUUGACCAAGGUUGACGCAGAGAAGCGAGUCAGUAUAUGUUAAAGAAGAUUAAGCUGAAGGAAAAUUCAAGGAUUGCAUCACAAAGCAGUGGUGGUGGAGGAGACCCGUCACAUGUGUAUGAUGUACUCAAAGGUCCACGAUCUACUUCAUGGAGUGUAAGUAGCAAUGUGGAAUAUUUCUCCAGCGAAGAAGCUUUGCUUCAUUUGGAGAGUAAUGGUUUAGUUUAUAUGAUAUAUCAAGUUAUGGGUGAUGGUUCUCACAAAGUUUCUAACUUUUUAUAUAUUUGGUUGUGUUUUAUUGUUCAUUUGUAAUAUGCUCUCAUAAACGGGUUUUAGAAAAUAAUAGUAUUUUGG